AUUGCAGUAUUGUUUGUCCUGUAUUGCAGUAUUGUUUGUCCUGUCCCCUGAUGCCCUAUCCUGCAACUGCAGCAUAAGAAUUUCCUUGUGAUCCUUGGAACACAUGUGACAAUAAAACUUCAAAGUUGUUUGUUUCGGUACAUCAGUGUUCAGGAAAAUGGAGUGGGAAUUCAAACUUGUAGGUACUGGGGAUAAUGUGCCUUGUGUCCCUUUCUGAUUGGCUUGUCUUUCAGAGGCUUCAGGCCAGCUUGAGGUACAGCUAUUAGUUACCACUUCGCGGCCCUGCAGAGUUUCUGUGAGAGCCGCUUCCUUUCUUUAUGUCGGUCCUCAUGGAGAUUAGGAGGGGAUCAGCGUGUGCUGGUUCAGGUUACUUGUGGUCAGUGCUCACUCAGCAGAUCUGUCAAGGAAGGCAGGGCGUGGCCAUCUUGGGGUGUGAUCACUGGCACCUGAGAGCGACCCUGGUGACCCCGUGACCCUCAUUUCACUGAUCCUCCUUCAUGGUCUUCUGAUUAGCACAAACGCCACGCGCUGUGGGUUCGAUACCCGCCCAAUUUCUCAUCGUCGCCCAGCUUGACGGUGGGCAUCAUGGGUGCCACAAGCUUCCUCGACAAAAUGUCCUACGCCGCCACUAACAGAGACCGACGAGAGAGACCAAAGUAUUACUACAUUUUACCCUGCCCCUCUGCUCUAUGUACUUAAGUUAUUUUAACAUGUCCUCUACAUGUUAGCACAAGCUAAGGCAAUAAAAUGUUUACAAAAGCCGUCAGGUACCUCAGGGUCUGACACCGUAUACCAUCUUCUGAGAGCAACGCGAGUGUCUUUAAUUUUAUUGGGUGUUGCGUAAGUGCCAUUUGCUGCUUGGCCAAGGACCUCAUUCUGUAACAACUCUUCAUGCUUGACUGGCUUCUUUAUGUUAAAGGGCCGGAGAUACUAGUUAUAUUUAAUGGGCACUAACUCUCUGCUUGUCCUCGUGUUUCAGAAUUCAGCGUUUCACAUUCUGGUCAUUUCCAUUGUGUCCUACAUGGAAUCGCGUCGGUCUGCUGUGAUCCCCGGCUGUUGAGCGACAGGUGCUGAAAGUCAUGCAGAGAAGCUGUGGUGUCCUGCUGGCAGACAGCUGCGGGGCGGGAUGGGUUAGAGACAGACAGUUGAGGCUAAGAACAUAGAUGGCAGCCAACAGGACUGACAGCAUGCCGAUUGGACGAGCAAACUGUCACAACUCAAACAGGUCCAGGAUUGGUCAGUUAUUUUCAGUUUAGUUCAUAUAAUUUACACUGGUGCACUGUGAAUACCUACAACAUAGCCACAAAAAAAUCCAUGUCAUAGGUCAAUCACUGUCACAUGACCACAUUACACACGCAGAUUGUGUUUUUUUUAGCCUUUUUCUGUUUUCCUGACCUUUUGCCAGUGAAAUGUAUUCGGGGUGUCAGGGGUGGUCAUGCAGUGUCUAUUUAGCUUUUCCCAUGUGUGACAGACAAAGUUGAUGAUAGGGAAAGUAGUUUGAGAUCUUGCCAGGGGGGCCUGCAGGAUUAUCUGCCCCCCCCCCCCAACACACACACACACACACACACACACACACACUAGGUAUCCAUAUCAUUCUGGGGACUCUCAUUUCUAUGGGCAAAACCCUAAUCCCAACAGAGAUAGCCUUAACCCCUACCCAGCCCUAACCUUAACCAUAAGUAACCAAACAACAUACAAGACUUGACACUUUUACUUUUUUGAUUUCAGUUGCAAAUUUUUAUAAAAUUCAGGGACCAAAAUAAUGUUCCCCGCAAUGUGAAAAUAACAGGUUUUUAUCACAUUGUGGGGACAUUUGGUCCGCACAAUGCAAUCGAUACAUAAGCCACACACACUUAUCUGACAUGCAUUAAUGUGAAAUUUUGACAGAUAUCGAUAACUGAUUUAUUUCUGUUUAAUAUCGCCACUGGUGGUGAAAUUUGCUGACCUAGUAGGCACAGAAUGACAUUACAUCAUUUUUUAAAUUCUGUGAUAAACGAAAGAUCAAUCUAUGGAUUAUAGAUAUUUUGCAGGCCGGUAUCGUGAGGCCUCUGAAAAGUGACGAAUGGGCCGACGAAAUCCCUCGUCUUCCACUGCGGAAAGAGGCUGUUUGUCCAGUGCUGUCAUGUUAUUCUGGUGGUUGUGUUUUUAACUCUGGUGCUGCUAACUUGAGCAACUUUGUUUACUGAGAAAAUUGUGACCUUGAUUUUGAAUCACAAAAAGUCAGGAUUCAUAUUUUACCCAGAAUUGUCCAGCCCGACUCUUUUUACAUUUCUGUUGCAGGUGUAGCGAGGCAAAAAAAAAAUCUGAAUGCAUGCACAGGGCGUCCAGGCAUACAGCUGCAGGCGCCCAUGGGAUUUGCCACUGGAUGUCUGCUUCACUGCAAGUUUACGCUUGUACAAGUAUCCAGCGGAGCAACUGGGAAGGUAGCACUGCAUUUUGACAGCACAGAUCCCUAAUCUGAAUCAGCCUCUAGGUCUGCCAAGAGGGCGAAGCCAAGGUCAGCACUGCUGAAAAUACAGAGACAUCUCCCUAA